AGGGAACCCUGGGAAGACAGAACUGACGGUGGCCACUGCAGUCCAGUCCUUCUGAGUGCCAGCGUUUUAAGGGAAAUGAUAUGGAAGGAGCUGGCUGGACCUCUGACUCAGCACUGGAUUGCUCAGGAAAGCAAAGCCCAUCCUCAGUCAUCCAAAGCCAGAAGGGACUGCGUGGGAAUUAGGUAACCCUAAGCCCAACGGAAGCCUGAAAAAGAACUGUAGAGUUCCCACUUCCAAGCACCAGCCAGGCCCGACCCUGCUUACCUUUGAAGAUCAGCUAAGUUCGAGAGCACGUCUGAGGUGACACAGCCCAGGGCAGCUGCACAGUUCUGUCGUGUGCUCGCCCACUGCUGCUCACCGCUCAGCGCACGCCCUAGACAGAAGGUCAGGGCCAGGUUGUCUUGAAAAUAAUUUCCCACUGACUUCCAUUUUCUCUCCUUUGGACACAACCCUCCCAAUCUCGUCCAGUUCCAUUUUUCUUGAAUUAAAAACUGCGUCUGUAAACAUCCUAACAGAGAACGGAUUACCGACAUGUCAGACAUAUUAGA